GGCUUAUUGAUUAUAAUUUUAAGUCUAAUCUGCCCUAUGAUUAUUUAAAUGGCUGCAGUAUUUUAACUGUACAAAGGUAGCAUAAUAAUUUGUUUCUUAAUUAGGAACUGGAAUGAAAGAUUGAACGAGACAAUAACUGUCUUAAUUUAAGUUUAAGAAUUUUAUUUUUAAGUUAAAAAGCUUAAAUUUUUUUAAAAGACGAGAAGACCCUAUAGAAUUUUAUAUUAUUAUAUUAUUUAAAUUUUAGUAUAAGAAAUUUAUAGUUAUUAUAUAGGUAUUUAGUUGGGGUGAUUGAAAAAUUUAAUUAACUUUUUUUAGUAUGUUACAUUAAUUUAUGAUUAGUUGAUCCAAUAGUUUUGAUUAUAAGAUUAAAUUACCUUAGGGAUAACAGCGUAAUUUUUUUGGAGAGUUCUUAUCGAUAAAAGAGAUUGCGACCUCGAUGUUGGAUUAAAGUUAAUUUUUAAUGUAGAAGUUAAAAUAUUAGGUCUGUUCGACCUUUAAAACUUUACAUGAUCUGAGUUUAAAUCGGCGUGAGCCAGGUUGGAUUCUAUCUUUAAUAAAAUUUAAUAUUUUAGUACGAAAGGACCAAGUAUUAGUUAUAGUAAUUUAUUUUGAAUAAUAUUAUUAUUUUGGCAGAUUAGUGCUUUAAAUUUAGAAUUUAAUUAUGUAGAGUUUCUACAGAUAAUAU
rnacentral:misc_RNA from 1 species